GAUGAACGCUAGCGGCAGGCUUAAUACAUGCAAGUCGAGGGGCAGCAGGUUUGUAGCAAUACAGAUGCUGGCGACCGGCAAACGGGUGCGGAACACGUACACAACCUUCCUUUAAGUGGGGAAUAGCCCGGGGAAACCCGGAUUAAUACCCCGUAACAUUAUGAAGUGGCAUCACUUUAUAAUUAUAGCUCAGGCGCUUAAUGAUGGGUGUGCGGCUGAUUAGAUAGUUGGCGGGGUAACGGCCCACCAAGUCUGCGAUCAGUAACUGGUGUGAGAGCACGACCAGUCACACGGGCACUGAGACACGGGCCCGACUCCUACGGGAGGCAGCAGUAAGGAAUAUUGGUCAAUGGACGCAAGUCUGAACCAGCCAU
rnacentral:rRNA from 1 species